AAAACUAGUUUUUGGAGGUUUAUUUUGAUUUAAAAAACAGCAAAUUUGCAGUACUCUAUAAGAAAUCUACAACCACAUUAAAGCUUAUCAACAUAAAAUAUAUAUUAAACAGUAUUUGUCCUAGAAGAAUCAAGAAAAAAAUCUGCAGGCAACUAAAGCAUUUAUAUAUGAUAACUGAUUUAAAUCCAUAAUUUUCUGUCUUUUUUGCUUCAAAUUACCUCCCUUUGGUAUAGCUCUCUAACAUAGGAGGAAUAAACGGUAGUUUGCUUACAUUGUUUUCAAUAACAGUGUACAGAAGACUAGAAGAAAAUUACAAACUUGGAGCAGUCUGAGCCUCAGUUUUGGCGUUUUCAUGAGUCUUAAUUACGAAUGAAAUUCGCCACUUUGAAGCCAAACUCGGAAAGAAGCAGAAACAGAAUUGGAUGAGCUGAUAGAUAGAAUUAGACAGGAAAAACGUAUUAUCAUUAUGAGAAUACAUCAUUACAGUACAGACCAUUGAUGCUGGAAGUGAGUGGAUAGUGUUACCGGAGACUCAAGG